AUGCCGGUAGUUCAAUGGUAGAACGGUGGUCUCCAAAACCACGGAUGCGGGUUCGAUUCCCGCCUGGUAUG
rnacentral:tRNA from 1 species